rnacentral:ribozyme from 14 species
ACACCACUAAAAAGAAAGAAAGAAAGAAAGAAAGAAAGAAAGAAGAGGAA